rnacentral:rRNA from 1 species
UAGGGAAUUUUACGUUCAAUGGGCGCAAGCCUGAACGAGCAAUGCCGCGUGAACGAGGAAGGUCUUCGGAUCGUAAAGUUCUGUUGAAGGGGAAAAAGAGCGGAGAGAGGAAAUGCUUUCUGAUUGAUAUUACCCUUCGAGGAAGUCACGGCUAACUACGUGCC